CAGGCACAGUGGUUAGAAGGGGUAAGUCAGGGCACUGUACAGAGUAGGGACUGGAGUGAGUAGUGGUACCAGGCACUAUUGUGACCCUAGGAAAGGGAAUGUUGGUGGGCCAUGUGACGUCAUAAUCAAGGGAUUUGGACAAGAGCUCCAAGGUGGACUAAGCUGAGGUGAGAAGUCCCAACUGCUUGGUGUCAGUCUAGGGUGACUUAUGGAAGUUGGUUGGCCAGCAGCUCAGAAGCUCCCUGGUGUGUGGGGUGAGACGGUGAGGAUCUAGUUUAAUGGUCUACAUGUAGUCACGCUCUGUCUGUUGAAGAUGCUGUCAACAUCCUGCCAUCAGCUUCAGUGGCUCCUCAUCCAAGCUGAGUUUGUCUGGCUCCCUCCUGUGUGAGGCUUGUGUCUGCAUGCAGUCCCAGCCGUUGAGUUCAUUCGUGCAGUCGUGCUGACAUCUCUGAAGACCUCUGAAGUGCAGACCUCUCGGUUACCCCGCUCUGCUCUUUACUACCUUUCCAUCUCCUCCUAUGAGCCUCGAGGGGGGAGGGGCAGAGUGCACUAAGCACCCCAUGGUUCCUUAUUCUCUGCACGUUGGCCAGUUUCACCUCGUCUUUGUGUUUUGAGACACGGUCUCACUAUGUAACACUAGCAGUCCUGAAAUUCACUAUGUAGACCAGGCUGGCCUUCUGCCUCAUUUAAAAAAAAAUUACUUGUAUCUUAUGUUCACUGGCAUUUUUCCUGGUGUCGGAAGCUCUGGAACUGGAGUUAGAGACAGUUGUGACCUGCCAUGUGGGUACCAGAAUCCAACCUGGGUCCUCUGGAAGAGCAGCCAGUGCUCUUAGCUGCUAAGCCCUUUCUCUUGCCUCCUACCUCAAGUUUGAGACCAGUCUCUUUCACUGGACCUGGGGUCAACCAGUUCGGAUAGACUAUCAUUUGGUCAGCAAGUCUACACCUCCCAGUGCUGGGGUCACGGGCACGUGCCACUGCACCCCGCUUUUUAUGUGGGUGCUGGGAAUCCAGAGUCAGAUCUUGGUGCUUCUGUGGCAAGCAUGUUACAGACUGAACCCAUGGGUGACCUUGAAGAUACAAGGCCUUCAACACUGUAGCGUGUUCCCACCUGAGUGGAUGAUCCCUGAUGUCGAAGCCUUGCUCUCAUCCAGGAGGAGACUUUGCUUAGCCACACGGAAAGGCAAGCUUCGGUGUUCCUGCCUGCCCUUAGGCCUAUUGAGUUAGGUAGGUUAUCUUUUGGAUCCAGAUUUUGCACCUUUAUAGAAGAGGGACUCUCCACCCCGGCAAACCUUCUAAAUGCAGGCAGCUUUCUCUGUCCCUCAUGGUGCACUUGCGUAAAUGAGAAGAAAAAAAAAAAAAAAACCACAUUUCAAAGCUCUGAGAACAUAGGGUGGGAUGUAAUCUCGAAAACCCACCUGGACUCAAACCCGGAAGUAAAACUAGCAGUGUUUUUCUACGUUGAACUAACCCUGCUUAAGUCCCCGUGUCAAGUGUAGGACAGUCCAGCAUCAGUCGUUCCUGGUCCCUUGAUUACAGUGUUCCUCAUUCAGUGUUGAGUCUCAGGCUCUGAUCGUGCAAUGUAUUUGCUUCCAACACAGUGGGGCUACAUGCAAACCUUUGAUCCCACAACAGAUCUCGCUGCUUCCUACUGGUGAUCCACACAAGGCCUUCUAGUUUGUAGCAGAGCCCAUUUUUAAAUACUAGUUUCAAAACUAGAGCCAUGUAGAGCCAUGGCUACCAUUAAGGAGCCCUUCCGUGUGUAAUUGACAUUUCUGUUCUUCCAGUGUGUAACGCAUUGGCGUUUCUAUAGUUCUAGUGUGUGACACGUUAUUUCUGUCUUGCUAGCAGAAUCUCUCCUCCCCUGCCUUUGAUGAAGUUGCUGCCACAUGAGGUGUGCCCAUCUGCAGGAAGUGGAGGAAGGACCCCAGCCAGUUAACCAGCAAGCACAUGAUUGACAGCCUCGGACCAAAAGCCUUGAGGAGCGAACCUGGCCAGAGUUCCAUGAGAGAAUCUGGAAAGGGGUUGUUCCCCAAUCAAGCCUUCCAAUUUCAGCCUUGCCAAAGAACCCCCAAGGCAGAGAAUGCAGGGUUCACAGAGCCUGAGACAAGGGACCAAUAAAGUUAAGGUGCCCAUAACACCAGUAGGUGAUUGUUAAUACGUGCUGGCUUCAUUUGACUUCGGAUGGGAGGUAGGAGGAGGGUAGGAAGAGAUCCAUUCUCAAAG
ensembl:lncRNA